rnacentral:rRNA from 1 species
UACGUAGGGGGCAAGCGUUGUCCGGAGUUACUGGGCGUAAAGCGCACGCAGGCGGUCGUGUAAGUUCGGGGUGACAGUCAUCGGCUUAACCGAUGAAGUGCCUUGAAGACUGCGCGACUUGAGGGCUUCAGAGGGACACGGAAUUCCGGGUGUAGUGGUGAAAUGCGUAGAUAUCCGGAGGAACACCAAAGGCGUAGGCAGUGUCCUGGGAAGUACCUGACGCUCAGGUGCGAAAGCCAGGGGAGCGAACGGG